rnacentral:rRNA from 1 species
AGAACGAACGCUGGCGGCAUGCCUAAUACAUGCAAGUCGAACGAACUCUUCGGAGUUAGUGGCGCACGGGUGCGUAACGCGUGGGAAUCUGCCCCUUGGUUCGGAAUAACAGUUGGAAACGACUGCUAAUACCGGAUGAUGACGAAAGUCCAAAGAUUUAUCGCCAAGGGAUGAGCCCGCGUAGGAUUAGCUAGUUGGUGAGGUAAGGCUCACCAAGGCGACGAUCCUUAGCUGGUCUGAGAGGAUGAUCAGCCACACUGGGACUGAGACACGGCCCAGACUCCUACGGGAGCAGCGUAGGAAGAUUGUAGAAUGGACGAAGGACUCGAUCACG